rnacentral:rRNA from 1 species
UCUGGGUGACGAGCGGCGGACGGGUGAGUAAUGUCUGGGAAACUGCCUGAUGGCGGGGGAUAACUAGUGGAAACGGUAGCUAAUACCGCAUAACGUCGCAAGACCAAAGUGGGGGACCUUCGGGCCUCACGCCAUCAGAUGUGCCCAGGUGGGAUUAGCUGGUAGGUGGGGUAACGGCUCACCUAGGCGACGAUCCCUAGCUGGUCUGAGAGGAUGACCAGCCACACUGGAACUGAGACACGGUCCAGACUCCUACGGGAGGCAGCAGUGGGGAAUAUUGCACAAUGGGCGCAAGCCUGAUGCAGCCAUGCCGCGUGUGUGAAGAAGGCCUUCGGGUUGUAAAGCACUUUCAGCGAGGAGGAAGGGUAAUGUGUUAAUAGGACAUUG